AUUGAACGCUGGCGGCAUGCCUUACACAUGCAAGUCGAACGGCAGCACGGGAGCAAUCCUGGUGGCGAGUGGCGAACGGGUGAGUAAUAUAUCGGAACGUGCCCAGUCGUGGGGAUAACGUAGCGAAAGCUACGCUAAUACCGCAUACGAUCUAUGGAUGAAAGCGGGGGAUCGCAAGACCUCGCGCGAUUGGAGCGGCCGAUAUCAGAUUAGGUAGUUGGUGAGGUAAAGGCUCACCAAGCCGACGAUCUGUAGCUGGUCUGAGAGGACGACCAGCCACACUGGGACUGAGACACGGCCCAGACUCCUACGGGAGGCAGCAGUGGGGAAUUUUUGGACAAUGGGCGCAAGCCUGAUCCAGCAAUGCCGCGUGCAGGAUGAAGG
rnacentral:rRNA from 1 species